UACGGGGGGGGCAAGCGUUGUUCGGAAUUACUGGGCGUAAAGGGCUCGUAGGUGGCCAACUAAGUCAGACGUGAAAUCCCUCGGCUUAACCGGGGAACUGCGUCUGAUACUGGAUGGCUAGAGAUUGGGAGAGGGAUGCGGAAUUCCAGGUGUAGCGGUGAAAUGCGUAGAUAUCUGGAGGAACACCGGUGGCGAAGGCGGCAUCCUGGACCGACAUUGACGCUGAACGGCGAAAGCUAGGGGAGCAAACGGG
rnacentral:rRNA from 1 species